AUAACAAAAACUAAAAACUAAAAAUCAAAAAUAAAAACUAAAAAUUAAAAACCACACUGCCGUAUAAUUAUGUUAAGUACUUUCAGAAAAUCGAAGCCAGUGAGCGUGAUUCGUGAGUGCAAAGUCAUACUCCGAAGAAUACAAAGUUCCGUUUGAAAAAUUACCGGGGAGGAAGUAGAUCCACUUCAAACAAAAAUCGCGGCAACACUGCCUUUUCAGACGUUGGCUGCAGCUAAGGAGUUUGAAAUAAAUCUGCUGCAACAAGAUUAUAUCGAGGCAAGAAAACUUUUCUUUUACGGCUGUAGGGUCAAGACAGCACUGUUGACGAUUUGUUCCGUCAGCUUUUCAACGACGAUUUUCUAUCCCUUUGCAACUGGGAUGGCAGAGGUAACAAGCAGGCGCUGUCCCAGCUUUCUUGUGUGUCGGAAAUUUUGUAUGAUGUUUUCCAGCUAAAUGGACGGGCUGCUUACGAAAAAAACAUUCGUAAGUCUGUUGACCUUAGUCAACAACCGAUUUAAGCAGCGAAACUACCGGCAGAGAAACACCUCAAAGGUGGGAAAUAUAAAUAUAAGUAAUACCUCAAUAUAAACAAUAAGUAUAUACUUGUUGUAAUAAGUAAAUAUAUACAUACAUAUGUAUAUCUAUGGACACAGAAAUGGCACAAAAAUGUUAAGAUAACUUACAGCCAUGGUUUCUGAAAAUAUAUUUUGUUAAUUUUAGGAAAAACUUAAAUGAAUUCUAUAACGAAAACCAUGUAAAAUAGUUUUAAAAUAGUCUUCGAACGUUUUUGAAA